CCCUGUGUGUCUCUGUGGCAGGGGUAUUCAGUCUGUCUGUGUCUGACUAACUUGACUGGGGGCUGAUUUUGCAUCGCCUAGUGCCCCGGGUGGGUGGAUAUUUCACUUUGGGACCAAUGGAAUGGCCAAAAAUUAGCAAACUGAGCUCAACCGGGGCCCCGGGCCAUGCCUUUUCUGACUGACUGGCUUACUGACUGACUGGCUUGCUGACUGUGUCUAACUGUCUCUCUCCCUGGCUGUAGGUAUCUAGUUGAAGUGUGUCUAACUGUCUCUCUCCCUGGCUGUAGGUAUCCAGUUGAAGUGUAUCUAUCGGUCUCUCUCCCUGGCUGUAGGUAUCUAGUUGAAGUGUAUCUAUCGGUCUCUCUCCCUGGCUGUAGGUAUCUAGUUGAAGUGUAUCUAUCGGUCUCUCUCCCUGGCUGUAGGUAUCUAGUUGAAGUGUAUCUAUCGGUCUCUCUCCCUGGCUGUAGGUAUCUAGUUGAAGUGUAUCUAUCGGUCUCUCUCCCUGGCUGUAGGUAUCUAGUUGAAGUGUAUCUAUCGGUCUCUCUCCCUGGCUGUAGGUAUCUAGUUGAAGUGUAUCUAUCGGUCUCUCUCCCUGGCUGUAGGUAUCUAGUUGAAGUGUAUCUAUCGGUCUCUCUCCCUGGCUGUAGGUAUCCAGUUGAAGUGUAUCUAUCGGUCUCUCUCCCUGGCUGUAGGUAUCUAGUUGAAGUGUAUCUAUCGGUCUCUCUCCCUGGCUGUAGGUAUCCAGUUGAAGUGUAUCUAUCGGUCUCUCUCCCUGGCUGUAGGUAUCUAGUUGAAGUGUAUCUAUCGGUCUCUCUCCCUGGCUGUAGGUAUCCAGUUGAAGUGUAUCUAUCGGUCUCUCUCCCUGGCUGUAGGUAUCCAGUUGAAGUGUAUCUAUCGGUCUCUCUCCC